GCCUGGGUGGCUCAGUCGGUUGAGCGUCCGACUUUGGAUCAGGUCACGAUCUCACAGUUUGUGAGUUCGAGUCCCACAUCGGGCU
rfam:Felis catus isolate Cinnamon breed Abyssinian chromosome E2, whole genome shotgun sequence.